rnacentral:rRNA from 1 species
AGGAGAGAUGGCUUAAAGGGGUACGCGGGCUUCUUCCGCGAAUCUGCUCCAGGAUGGGACUGCGUCCGAUCAGGCUGUUGGCGGGGUAAUGGCCCACCAAACCUGUAACCGGUACGGGCCUUGAGAGAGGUGGCCCGGAGAUGGACACUGAGAGAAGGGUCCAGGUCCUACGGGGCGCAGCAGGCGCGAAACCUUCGCAAUGCGCGAAAGCGUGACGAGGUUAAUCCGAGUGACUCCCGCUGAGGGGGUCUUUUGUCAGCUGUAAAUAGGCAGGCGAAUAAGGGGAGGGCAAGCCUGGUGUCAGCCGCCGCGGUAAUACCAGCUCCUCGAGUGGUCGGGGCGAUUAUUGGGCCUAAAGCAUCCGUAGCCGGUUCCGUAGGUCCUCUGUUAAAUCCAGCCGCUUAACGGUUGACCUGCAGAGGAUACCGCGGGACUAGGAGGCGGGAGAGGCGGACGGUACUCCGCGUGUAGGGGUAAAAUCCUUUGAUCCGCGGAAGACCACCAGUGGCGAAGGCGGUCCGCCAGAACGCGCUCGACGGUGAGGGAUGAAAGCUGGGGGAGCGAACCGGAUUAGAUACCCGGGUAGUCCCAGCCGUAAACGAUGCUAGCUAGAUGAUUCAUUCGCAAGUCGCGAAUGAAGUGUCGCAGGGAAGCCGUUA